CAUAGUUUUGGGACUGGAGUUAAACAAAGACAGAGAUGUUGAAAGAAUCCAUAGCAGUGGAAUUAACACCCUUGACAUUGAACCUGUUGAAGGAAGAUAUAUGUUAUCAGGUGGUUCAGAUGGUGUGAUUGUACUUUAUGACCUUGAGAACUCUAGCAGACAACCUUAUUACACAUGUAAGGCAGUGUGUUCCAUCUGCAGAGACCAUCCUAAUGUUCACAAAUACAGUGUGGAGACUGUACAGUGGUAUCCUCAUGACACUGGCAUGUUCACAUCAAGCUCAUUUGAUAAAACUCUAAAAGUAUGGGAUACAAAUACAUUACAAACCGCAGAUGUAUUUAAUUUUGAGGAAACAGUUUAUAGUCAUCAUAUGUCUCCAGUCACCACCAAGCACUGUUUGGUAGCAGUUGGUACUAGAGGACCCAAAGUACAACUUUGUGACUUAAAGUCUGGAUCCUGUUCUCACAUUCUACAGGGUAUUUUUUUAUUUCGAACAACAACUACUUUGAGUAAACCAUUCAAUAAAAAGAAACAUUACUAA